CUCAAAGUGUUGUAAUGCGAGCAAUAAAGCAAGAGCUUCUUUUUCAAUAGUUGAAUAAUUCAGCUGAUGUUUGUUAAACUUACGAGAGUAAUAACUAAUAGGAUGUUCUAUCCCAUUCUCAUCCUCUUGAAUAAGAACAGCACCAGCACCCACGGCACUUGCAUCAACCUCCAGCUUAAAAUUUCGAGUACAAUCAGGUGCCAUUAAAACGGGUGCAUUACACAUCAAAGUUUUAACUAAAUCAAAAGCAUGUUGGCUCUCAGCAGACCACUCAUAAGAUUUAGACGGGCUAAGUAGUGAAGUAAGAGGGCUCACGACAGUCGAGAAAUUCUUACAGAAGCUACGAUAAUAGCCUGCCAUACCCAAGAACCUCCGCAACUCUCUACGGGUAGUAGGAACCGGAAAUUCCGUUAUGGCUGUGACCUUGGCCUCUACCGGUCGUACUUGGCCUUGACCAACCUCCUUACCGAGGCAAAUGUGUUCGGUCCAACUCAACGAAUACAACACCAGAUCAUCAAGAUACGCGUUGCAAUUUGGUACAUCAUGUAAAACGAUAUUAACGAGGCGCUGGAAAGUUGCUGGGGCAUUUCUAAGCCCAAAAGCCAUUGCCGUAUACUGGAGGAAGUUGUCUGGGGUUACAAAGGCUGAAAUCUCCGAAGCUUGUGAGAAUCUGAAUGUGCCAUCGGGUUUGGGAACAAGUAGGCACGGAGAACUCCAAGGACUGCAGCUGGACUUUGCUAAAUCAUUUUCCAACAAAUACUCUACCUCUUGACGCAUAACAGAUCUUUUCAUUGAGUUUACG